CUACGGGUUGCACCAGUGGGGAAUAUUGCACAAUGGGCGAAAGCCUGAUGCAGCAACGCCGCGUGAAGGAUGAAGGGUUUCGGCUCGUAAACUUCUAUCAAUAGGGACGAAAAAAAUGACGGUACCUAAAUAAGAAGCCCCGGCUAACUACGUGCCAGCAGCCGCGGUAAUACGUAGGGGGCAAGCGUUAUCCGGAAUUACUGGGUGUAAAGGGAGAGUAGGCGGCAUGGUAAGUUAGAUGUGAAAGCCCGAGGCUUAACCUCGGGAUUGCAUUUAAAACUAUCAAGCUAGAGUACAGGAGAGGUAAGUGGAAUUCCUAGUGUAGCGGUGAAAUGCGUAGAUAUUAGGAAGAACACCAGUGGCGAAGGCGACUUACUGGACUGAAACUGACGCUGAGGCUCGAAAGCGUGGGGAGCGAACAGGAUUAGAUACCCGGGUAGUC
rnacentral:rRNA from 1 species